GUGUCCAUGGCUGCGCUGCACACAGUGGCCACCGUGCGCAGGAGACAUGGACAGGAGUUUACGCACGGUCCGUGGAUGGAAUGGGAAGUCACAGAGCUGAGUGGAUAGAAGGGCCGCCCAGAGAAAGUCCCCACAGUGAGGUCGCUUCCCGGCACACAGCAUCACUCAAAACUCCACAAUAGGCCGGACACAGCUUACGUGCAACUGGACUGCCGAUGUGGUCAAUGUUGACAUGUGACGUUGACGGAGGGUAAAAAGAUGGAUUCUUUGUUUUCAAUAAAAGAAGAAAAAUGUGCAGAAUUUGUUAAAUUUUAACAAAUUGAGUGACAAAACCAUUUUUCAUCUUCUGAUUUUCAUUUCAGUGCAGGCGUUCAACUAAGACGAUAGGUUUGAGAAUGCAGAACAUCCUGCGUUACGUUCCCCGGGUCGAGAGAGCGAGAAGAUGGACUGAGGGUAAAGUCCAGCUGUUGUGAUUGUGUCCCAUCAGUCUGUCCUCUCUUCAGAUCUCAGCUCCAUCAGUUCUUCCAGUUGGAGUAAGCGAGCAGACAAGGAGGCUUCGCGCCAUCGCAUCAGUUCCAGGUCCGGGGCAGGUUCUCGAGGAUCCUGCGUCGGUGCGAAGGGUUCGUCACUCCCGCGGCCCGUAGGUCCUCCUCAGUGAUGCCGCUGCGGAGAAAAGAUUUUUUAUUUUCAAGCAUUUGCAACGUACAAUACACACAAUACAGUAUAUAACACAAGGGAAUACUGGAUUUGUUAAUGUGCACUGUGUUCUCAUUUUAAAAUCAAUAGGCACAAGAGAAGUGUUUAAAAGGAACAGUUUCUGUUGGCUGUACGGAUUCCCUCUCUUCGCUUGUCCUUUCUGAACGAUGGGGGGUUACAAAUCCAGCCCUCACUCCACAGAACAAAUUACUCUGCCUAUCUGGAGUGAAUAUGAGGCUUCAACAGUCUGAGUUAAUCAGAUCAAGAGGGUAUCUCAAAAGGUUACGGCCGGUUCGUAUGAAAUUGCCUCUUUGUGUUGCUCCCCCUCGGCAGCUCAACACAGAAACACUGUCAGGGGGAAGAGAAGGGGGAAGUUACUGACUUGAUCCGUCUAAGUCGGGCGGCUGCAGCCUCAAAUUAACCUCAGCUCAAAUUUAAAAGGACGAUGGAUUUAGCCUCUCAUUAUUUACGCAGUAAGGGAACAGGAGGGAGAGUUGGAGCAGGAAGGGUUUUAUUUAUUUAUCUAUUUUAUCAAUUUACAUCUCACUGAAGUUGUCACUGCAAAGCUGACAGUAUUUAAUUGAAGUCAUCACACCCACAUGAGCAUGACUGUCACAUGAACACAACUAAUUGGAUCCGGCCUUCAACUGAUGUUUGAAUCUGUCUCGUGUGUAUUUUACUCUUGUCAUGUGUCCUAUAGUUUUAUUCUGGUUUUAAAUAUGUACACAAACUGAGGAAUAAAGUGAAUGAAAUGAA